CCUGUAUGCACUGAAACUUGGUGCCUCCUGGAGGGGAGUUUCGGUCCCCUAACCACUGGCUUCCUGUCUGUCUCACAGCCAGUUGCCCUGUUAGGAACCAGCUCCAGUUCUGGAGAACAGGCUGGGUAUGGAUUAUAAGCAAGGACGCUGGAUUUUGGUGAGAAGGACACCAUGGUUUAAAAGCUGGACACUCACUUCUCAGGCUGGUGCUGUGGCAGCCACCUUGUAACCAUGAGGCCCUGCCCCCUGCCCAGAAGGGCCGACUCACCAGCCCCAGCAGGCAGCGGACUUCAUUGAUGGCCCCGAUGCAGCCCA